UACCAGGUUCUCACAACAAAAGCUCACAACGACUGAACUGCAGCAGUCCUCUAACUCACUAACUCACCAAAUAAAUUUUCACUCACCGACUGACUCCUCACUUGUCCUGCUUAUAAUAUCUCGGCACGGACCAUACAGAAAACACCUCUCCUCUGUUGCUGUGCAAUUGCUGCUUUCAUGCCUAUUGAGGUGCCCAUGUAAUUGCUGUAAUUGCUAUUCAAAUAUUGCCUAGCAACGGCCGUUGUUUGCAGAGCCAUUAUUUAGUCACGGCUAUAGUAUAGUUGCUUAUUUUGCUGUUGUUGCCUAGCAACGUGUCUAUAUGCCAUAGUAUUUACUACGAGUACCUUUAUUACUUUCAUCCCGAAAUAUUUUCUGUGAAAAUAAAAUGGUAGCUAACAGAUUGCCUACUACAGAUGUGCAGACUAAAGACAAAGGGAAUACUGAAGCAAACAUUUAAAUGUUCUCUUCUGAACACCCGGAGAAAGAGGAAGAGAUCAACUGCACUUUAAGGUUUUAUGAACAGGCAAUUAAGCUUUAUCCUGCAAAGCGUUUUUUAUAAACCAGAUUAAUGUUCUUGUCACAAAGAAGACUGGAGGAGAGUAUAGGGCCAUGUGACUUCUUUACCUGCCCUCAGUAUAGUAAUGUUGUUGGUAUUAACACUUACCAGGUCAGGUCCUUCAGAACUCUAAAAGGCAUCUCACAUUUACAACUGGAACUCUUUUUGCUUGUUUAAUGUACUGUGCCUGAUAUGAUGCUGUAUCUGAAUUAAUGGAUGUGUUUAAAAAAAUUAGAAUGAAGUUCUUCCUUCUUUGUGAGCAUUCUCUUUUUUUUUUCAACAGGUACACCAUCUUUGUGGAUGAGAAACAGUCAGAAUCAGUGCCAGUCAACAUCAUGUGUUAGAGGUUCCGCAUAAGUGCAACCUGUGUGAUUCAAAUUCAAAUCUGACUGCAGCGACACCUAGAUUGGAGUGCAGGUGUGGCAUUGAAGUGGUUGUUGUCUGUGUUAUAUGAUUCUCUGAGGUGAACUUGUUAUUUUAUUGUACAUUUGUUAAUAAUGGUAGCUAUAAUGCCUGACUCUGACCAUUCUGACAGUGAAGAUGAGUUGAUGCCAGGCUGGGAGGAGAGGUGGGUGGCAGCAUGUAUUAUGUGAAGUAGGUACAACCGGUGGUUCCUUAGUGGCCUGUCCCAUUAGCUACUUGUGAAAAGAAUUGGUGUUACCAAUGUUUGAAUGUGGAAUUGUUCCAAGUUUGUAAUGAAAUGGCAGUGCAAGAUGUAGAAUUGAUUGUAAAAGCAGCUUGAUUUUGUGUGAAGGGAUGUAUCAUUAAUGAACUGAUCUAGAUGAGCUCACUACAGACUUUGUGCUGUUUGAGGGAGUAAGACAUAAUCAGUUCACUGCAAAUUGAAAUUAAUUUUGUAAACCUCAGUGCCAGAUGAAUUGAGAACUGAUUAGACUUCUUAAUGAUAUUUGUGUUAGGCAUAGUGAUAGCAUAAAUAUUCAUAACUGCUACAACAGAAUAGCAUUUGUGGACCUAACCUGAGCCAAAUCUGGGUCUCAUCUCCUCUUCUGCAUCCUGGGUGUGAUUGGCCACUUCUGCCUUUCAUGAGCCAUUUUUGACAAUCUUUCCUAUAUAUACUGCUACUUUCCCAACUUGGAUCUCUUCUACCCUGAAGAUGGAGGCAGUAAGUUUGUCAGAAGCGUCAUUAACCACUUCCAGACUUAAUUAUAUCAUUACCCAGAAGACACAUGACACAUCAAUCUAAUUCACAUCCUGGAAAGCUAUUUCCACAAGAUCUGCUUUAAUAUUAUCCUUCCACAUAUGUUUGUGUAGGUACUCGCAAGCUGUGUGGCACACAGUAUUGUUGUACAGGCUGGAGUGAGCAUGGCAUACUCAGCUGUAUUGUUGCCACAACUUGCAGAUCCUGACAGUAUUCCUACGGCCACAGAAGAUCAGAGCUCAUGGAUUGGUAUGUAAAUUUUCCAAGCAACUUGAUAUUACUAAAAA